rnacentral:rRNA from 1 species
CACUACUGCCGGCGACCGGCGACACGGGUGAGUAACACGUAUCCAACCUGCCUCAUACUCGGGGAUAGCCUUUCGAAAGAAAGAUUAAUACCCGAUGUUAUAGUCCUACCGCAUGAUGGGAUUAUUAAAGAAUUUCGGUAUGGGAUGGGGAUGCGUUCCAUUAGUUAGUUGGCGGGGUAACGGCCCACCAAGACAACGAUGGAUAGGGGUUCUGAGAGGAAGGUCCCCCACAUUGGAACUGAGACACGGUCCAAACUCCUACGGAAGGCAGCAG